rnacentral:lncRNA from 1 species
GCUCCUCUGAUCCUUUGCCAACUUUUUAAUGCUCCCGUGUGGGCCCUCGCUCCACCCUGCUAUUCUGCAUUCUCCGGGAUUCACACCAACCACCGAGUCACUCCCAGUGAGAGAAUCUUCGUUCCUCAAUUGAAGACGCAGAGCUUACUCACAGUUUUGACCCUUCUUGGUGGGAGCUGCAGAGCAGAGCUGCUUCUAUUCAGCAGCUGCUCCCCCAGUGCUAUGAUUUUAAUGUGUCCCCUCCAAAGUUCUUGUUAAAGCUUAAUCCUCAUUGUGGUGGCAUUGAGAGUUGUGGCAGAGUUUGGAUGGACCAAAGACCUUAACAGACACCUCACCAAAGAAGAUGUGCAGAUGACAUAGAAAAAGACACUCCGCAUCAUAUGUCAUCAAGGAAAUGCAAAGGGAAACAAUAAUGAGGUCCCGCUACACACCUAUUAGAAUGGCCAAAAUCUAGAAUACUGAGAGCAUCGAAUGCUGGUAAGGAUAUGGAGCAACAGGAAUUCUCAUUCAGUCCUGCUGGGAAUGAGAAUAGUAUAGUCAGUUUCGAAGACAUUUUAGUAGUUUUUAAAAAACUAAACGUACUCUUAUGAUAUGAUCCAGCAAUCACACUUUUGGUAAUUGCCCAAAAGAAUUGAAAACUUACAUUUUCACAUAAGUACACAAAAAUUUGUACCAAGAUAUUUAUUGAUGUGUACACACAAGUACACAGAAACUUGUACACAGAUAUUUAUAGAGGCUUUAUUCAUAGUUGCCAAGAUAUCCUUCACUAUGUGACUGGAUAAAUAAACUGAUACAUACAGAUAAGAUAAUACCGUUUAGCAUUAAAAAGAAAUGAACUAUCAAAAAUGAAAAGACAUGGAGGAAACUUAAAUGUGUAUUAUUAAGUGAAAGAAGCCAAUCUGAAAAAGGUACAUAGUGUAUAAUUCCAAAUAUAAGACAUUCUGGAAAAAGCAAAACUAUGGACACAAUGAAAAGAUCAGUCAAUUGAAAUAAAUAAAUAUGUUUUUAAAAAUCAGUGGUUUCCAGGUAUUAGAGAGAAGAUAGGGAUGAAUCGGCAGAGCACAGAGAACUUUUAAGUCAGGGAAACUUCUUUGUAUAAUAUUCUACAGUGGUACAUGUCAUUAAAAAUUUGUUUAAUCUCACAGAUUGUACAGCAUCAAACGUGAAUGCUAAAAUAAACUGUGGAAUCUUGGGUGAUAAUGAUAUGUCAAUGCAGAUUCAUCAGUUGUAACAUAUGUACCACUCUAGUGGGGAAUGGUUAUAAUGGGGAAGGCUAUGCAUACAUAGGGGCAGAAGGUAAAUGGGAAAUUUCUGUAUCUUCUGUUCAAUUUUGCUGUAAACGUAAAAUUGCUCUAAAAAUAGCCUAAGACUGGUUUUAUAAUAACAGUAGGCCAUUAUUCAUAUUAGCAUUAUCAUUAUAGUCAUGAAUACAGUCUUCUCUUGACUAUAGGGAACACAGUGCUUUUAGAUUUCCUAGCAUCCAUUUAGCUUCCAUUUUAAAAAUAGAACAACACUAAGAACUUCUAUAUUAUAUGCACUAUGAAGCCAUAUAUUGUAGCUCAUUAAUUUAUUUGGUAAUAAAGUGCUAAUUAGUGAUAUAACACUGACUCAAACAAGUUAGCUGAAUGGUUUUAAUAAUCAUAGAACACACCCUGAAUCUCCAUCAGACUUAUUUUAUUCAUUCAGUUGGUCAAAAGAAGAAAUAGAACAAAUGUGAUGAAUGAAAACACAUCCAUAAAUUAUACUAGAAAAAAUAGCUCAAAAUAUAUGUCUAGCAGAGUUAUUCAGUGCUGUUAACUCCAACUUCCUUAUUAGCAUUUCAUUACUACAUAAUACAGUUGAAUUCAAUCCUCGAGCUGGUUUUGCUUUAUUUGAUGGUUAUAUCAGGGAUACAUAUUCUAGUGCAUCCAAUAGGAAGCCACAUUAGCACAUUGGACCUUGAUGAACUUAAUCUAAAAUUAUAAUCUUCAAUAACCUUGUAAUACUACAUAGAAUAUAACUGAGCCAAUAAAACAUACUUAUUUUUGUUUACCUUUCAAUUUACACAUAAGUUAAAUCUACAUUUUAUCUAAUUAAAACCAGAUUGUUGGACUCUCAAAUGCCUUGAGAAAUCUAUCACUUAUUGAAGUGCAUGGCACUUUUAAAACAUAAAUGAAAACUUCAGAGAAUUACAAUUUAUAUUACACAAAUACAACUUCUGUCAAUUCUGUCACAGUCUAAACAUAACCAGCUGCCUCUGCAAUGAUAUCAAGUGGCAAUUAAAAUAGCACCAGUAAUGUUACACUACAGUGAGGUGCAGAAAAUAUUUUGUCUGGUAAAAGCAAGAAUUAUAUUUAGAUGGUUGAGAUUCAUGUUCCAUAUUAAAAGAACAAAUGUUCUGAAAGAUUAGUCUUUGGUGCCAUCAUGUCUAUUUGUGCAUAAUCUUGGACACAGGGUGGCUUGCAUGAGCCAGAUAUCUGUCUUGUUCAACUUUAGUCCGCUAAGCCGUGGUCUCCAAGUAUCUUCUGCAGACCAUUAGUUCAAUGAAAUACUAAUAGGAAUUUUGUCAAAAAAUAAGUUCUAUGAUCACAUAGGAUUUGGAAAUGCUAUGUUAAGCUUGCACAUUUUUCUCUCCAAUGAAUUGUCAACUCUUUAAUGUACUCACAUGCAUUAUGGAUUUUUUAGAGAAAAUGCAUAACUUCCCCCAAAUUAUUUAAUUAUAGAACACAUGCCAGAAUAACCAUUAACUUUUAGAUAAAAUAUAUGUUUGGGACAAGCAAAGUUGGAAAAAAUUGUUUUGUUAUCUGAUAUUUGCUUAAGGCAUCAAAGAAGUUAACACCAGGAAAAAUAAAAAUUUGGUUGGAUUGGUUACAUUUGUUCCACGUCUAAUGUGUU